AUGACUUCUGUCAGUAAUAAAAUGUCCAACCUCCAUUUUUCCAAACAAUUCACAAUCUCCCCCUCAUGUGUGAGUUCAUCUACUAUGAUCUCCCUCAAACAAAAGUUGUUUCAUUCACAUGCUUAUACCUCCAUUGACAUAAACUCUUACUUGUCAUAUACACUUUAUCGGGAUGCACCGUCUGACCACCAUGUCAGAAAGACUUUCAAUACAAUAAGUUGUACCCUUUCUCAAACCAGUCUCUAA